CCUACGGGGGGCAGCAGUGAGGAAUAUUGGUCAAUGGACGAAAGUCUGAACCAGCCAAGCCGCGUGAAGGAAGACGGCUCUAUGAGUUGUAAACUGCUUUUGUACGGGAGUAAACGCAGAUACGCGUAUCUGUCUGAAAGUAUCGUACGAAUAAGGAUCGGCUAACUCCGUGCCAGCAGCCGCGGUAAUACGGAGGAUCCAAGCGUUAUCCGGAUUUAUUGGGUUUAAAGGGUGCGUAGGCGGUCUGAUAAGUUAGCGGUGAAAGCCCGAGGCUCAACUUCGGAAUUGCCUUUGAUACUGUUCGGCUAGAGUGUAGUUGCGGUAGGCGGAAUGUAUGGUGUAGCGGUGAAAUGCUUAGAGAUCAUGCAGAACCCCGAUUGCGAAGGCAGCUUACCAAGCUACUUCUGACGUUGAGGCACGAAAGCGUGGGGAGCAAACAGGAUUAGAUACCCUUGUAGUC
rnacentral:rRNA from 1 species